CAACUUUCACAACAGGAUCUCUUGGCUCUCKCAUCGAUGAAGAACGCA
rnacentral:rRNA from 1 species